rnacentral:rRNA from 1 species
AUGAACCGAGACAACACCAAGAGCAUGAAGCUCGCCGCAACACAACGGCAUCCAUGGAAGGGUCUUGAGCAUGCACAACAACAUGGACGACACACCAAACGAUGGGCAGGGGUGGAUAAAUGGCAGCAAAGGGCUCGGCGAAGAGGCGAAGUCGAUUGUGGUAGGGGGUGGAUGGGAGGCGAUGAGAGAACUGAAGCAAACUCGGGAGGUCAAAGCAGAGGGCAAAGGAAUCACCAUAUGGACAUGAAGGGGAUGCAGACCGCGCCAUCAACAUGGAGGAGCGGCGUGAGUGCGCCGCCGCAGUCGUGGUCGGACGAACCGGCAGAGAUUUCUCCCCAUCCCCAAGUCCAACGAGGAGGAGGAGGUAGUACAACGCCACCAUGGUGGGACGCGGCGCCCGCAGGCGUCGCCGCUGGCAGCCGACGGCCGCUGGCACGGAUUUCUCCAUGCCUCCUCACACCCUCCACCACCCAAACUCCGACUAACCGGACAUAG